rnacentral:rRNA from 1 species
AGAGAGAGACAUGCGCGCAUAUCAAUAAGCGGAGGAAAAGAAACUAACAAGGAUUCCCCUAGUAACGGCGAGUGAAGCGGGGAGAGCUCAAAUUUGAAAUCUUAAAGGGUUUCCCUUUACGAAUUGUAGUUUAAAGAAGUGUUUUCUGUUGAGGUUUUGGUAAAAGUUCUUUGGAAUAGGACAUCAUAGAGGGUGAGAAUCCCGUAUUUGACCUUUACUUUCAACUUUGUGAUACACUUUCAAAGAGUCGGAUUGUUUGGGAAUGCAGUCCAAAAUGGGUGGUAAAUUUCAUCUAAAGCUAAAUAUUGGCGAGAGACCGAUAGCGAACAAGUACCGUGAGGGAAAGAUGAAAAGAACUUUGAAAAGAGAGUUAAACAGUACGUGAAAUUGUCAAAAGGGAAGCGUUUGACACCAGUGUUGUUUUUCUGAAAAUCAAUUAAAGAACUGUUUAUGCUAAGUUGUUUAGACUUUAUCAGCUAACUGUUUAGUUUUGAGCUUUUCUUUAAUGCACUUUUCAGUUAACAAGUCAACAUCAAUUUCUUUUGCUGUAAAAAAGCUUGAGGAAGGUGGCUUGAGAUUCGUCUUAAGUGUUUAUAGCCUCUUGCCUAUGCAGUCGGAGAGAUUGAGGUCUGCAGCGUAGAUCCUUCGGGGCUAAAUGCAUUUGUGCUAAGUUAUAGCAUUUUAUAGACAACUUGUUGACUAUGAUUUGUCUUGUAGCUUACUCGCUUAUGUUAUUUUACCUACGCUUAGGAUGUUGACGCAUGAGAUAUACGC